ensembl:lncRNA
UCUGGCCCAUCUAAACAUCUCAGGUGCUCUCCUACAUAUUCUGUUCCCCUUUUGGCUGAAUGAGGAUAAUGCCUGGGUGCCCUUGUAAGCCACAUGUUGUAAUGGCAGAGUCCAUCUAGCCUGGAUUCCUACAGAGCUGAGUGGAAGAGGGUCCCUGGGCUGACCUAUUCACCAGUUCAAAACUCAUAUGUGAAUAAGAAAAAAGCAGCCAUUGCAUUUGAACUCUAAGAAUAUUGGGGUCUGUUUGCUAGAGCAGUACACUGUCUCAUAUAGGAACAAACAUUUGAGCCAGACAGGCAGCCUUUAGUCUUUGUGAUCUAUAAGCCUAGACAGUCUGUUCUUGUUAUUUGUAGCAACUGUGUUUUAUAGUUUCUGUGAAUACUGAAUUAGCAAAUACGGAGCCAUUGCUCAUAGGAGAAAUUCAGGAUUAUCAUCCUGUGAGAAGACACUUCUAUUUAAAGACACCUUAUUUAACUAUGUUAUUGAUUCAUUAACAAUGAACUCACAGCCAACAGUACUAUAACUCAUGCCUGAAGAAACUUAUCUAACACACAUAUUAUUUGCUCUAUAAGGCACAUCAUAGCCUUCUUGUGCUAAGGAACAGCACUUUAGCACUAUGCUUAGGGCCAAUUUUAAACAAUGAAAUUACAAAAAAAAAAAAACCCACAAAAAUGCAAAAAAUGUGGCACUAACUAGACUGGGAAAAGGACACUUGUUUACAGUAUGAGAGCUGAAACAAGAAGCCAGAGCACGGACCUCAGCUGAGAAUGUGUCAAGGGACUAAAGUUUUUUGCCUCUCCGUGAAUAUCCAUGAAUGAUGGCCAAAGGGCCAUGAAUAUUGACUUUGGGGUUUCAACAUGCAAAUGAAGGAAACAAGACUGAGCGGCCUUCUGUCCAGAAAGCAGGAAAUGAAGCCUGUCUGGGACCACAUAUUCCCUUGGGACACGUCGUAGUGUCAGAAAUGGGUUCUGGAAGAAGCUGGCCUUUGUUCAUUUCUGUUUCGUGAGUGAGCUCCUCCUCUUGGCCCUGGCUGGAGGGGUGGCUUCCCACCCACAUUCCCCAGGAGUGUUAAACCAAAGAGAAGCUCAUCAGGACUCCAGUCAGGCUCUGCUAUCUCUAGAGCCGCCAUCAGAAGCGCCCGCCCUCCUCAGCCUUGCUUUCCACUGACAGAAACGUUGACUUUUCCAGAUGAGAUGUUCUGAGCCAACCAGUUGCUCUCACAUGAAGCAGAACCACAGUCAUGAGGAGGCAGCUUAUCCUCGGGCCCUAAGAGGCCGGAGCUGAUGCUGUUGCACUUGGCUGGAUUGAUGUUUAAAUGUCCUCUGCCUCACAGGCAGCCUUCCCUCCGGCCGGAGGGACCCUGGAUCUCUGUAACCUCUGUGAGGGGUAAAGUCUACUGUUAAUCUCACUAACGAGGGGUCUGUUUCACAAACCGGCCAAGCCCUGGUUUCUUCCAAGGAGACAUAACAGUGUUUUCUGCAGAGGGGCCUGUGAUAAGAUAUCUCAGAAAUGGAGUGAUUUAGGGCUAGCCCGGUGGCGCAGCAAAGUUCACACGUUCUGCUUCGGUGGCCUGGGGUUCGCUGGGUUUGGAUCCCAGGUGCAUAGGGCACAGCUUGGCAAGCCAUGCUGUCUCAGGCAUUCCACAUAUAAAAUAGAAGAUGAUGGACACUGAUGUUAGCUCAGGGCCAGGCUUCCUCAGCAAAAAGAGGAGGAUUGGCGGCAGAUGUUACCUCAGGGCCAAUCUUCCUCAAAAAAGAAAAGAAAAAGAAAUGAGGUGAUUUAUAAAAAGGAUGUUAUUUCCUACAGAGUAGGAAGCUGGAAGAUCCUUUUAGAUAUUAUUUACUCAUUAGACAGACCGAUAAAGAAACUAAAGCCCAGAGCAGGGCAGUAGCUGCUGGAGGGCCCAGAGCCACGUGGUAGGAGAGCUGGGAGAGAGGCCUGGGUACUGAGCGAGCUGCUGUGUUUGGGCUGCUCUGCACAUCCCCGUGUUUCUGUAUUCCUCCAUGCUCACGGAGUCUUCCUCAGACUUCAGUCUCCAGAUGUGCCAUAGUUUAAUUUGGGGGUCCUCAAGUCAAAAUUUCAAGAACUGAAGAAUACGGAUCAUGAGACCUGCUGAAUAACAUCGAAGGAACUUCUGAACACGCCACCAUUUAAGCGGAGAGGGUCCCUCCCUUCCGCUGCAAUCAGGCUAUUACAGGCUCGCUCUGCCUCUUACCCGCUGGGCGCAGGCCAAGCCCAGAGCCCGGAGCUCCUACUAUGACUUGGCCGAGCAGCAAGCUAUUCAUCCACACGUCCAAGGCCACUUUUGUGCGAACAGCUUCGCAUCACCUGCCCCUGGAGACUUCGGAUCACCCCUCUGCUCCCCCGCCCUCCCCUGCUCCAGCCCCUCUCUGGCUGUGCAGGAGCCAAAGGGGAUUUGUGAUAACAGAGUCACAGGCACAGGCCCAACCCAGGCCCGAGGAGCUUGACCUGAGGCAAGAGCAUAGCCCAGAACAACACACGCCACUCCCCAGCAAGGAGGGGUGGCCUGGCACUCAAAUCGAAAACUCCUGGGCUUUUGAUGGAAGCCAUAAAACAAAGGUAGUAUUCCAGAAGGAAUCUCAGAUCCUUGUUCAUACUGGAGCCCAAGUGACCAUCAAAACAAGAGGCUGCUUCUCCAUAGGCAGUUCCGAGGAUCAAGGUUCCUGUUAAUUCUGGAUUUGGAAAAACAUACCUGGGAAGGAGGCAGGCACUCCCACUGCAUUACCUCUGAGAAAGACACACCUGCAAAUAACGUCCACUGUGGUGGAUUUGGGAUUGUCCAGAAUGUGACUGUGUAAGGCUGGGAUUGGAAGCCCGUUCUGAAUAUGUGCCUGAGUACCACGUCAGUUCAGCCGUGCUGAGCCUGAGCGAGGCGUCCUCCCUCACAAGCUUCCCAGGACCCCUUGGCUGUGCACACAAAGAGAAGCCGGCUUUUCUUGUUUGCGCCUUUGCUCCUUCCUAUUUGAUUGAAUUUGAAGAGGAACUGUUUGCCUUUGGCUGCACAUCCUGAAUCAUAAUCAGGAUGCUGCUGGCACAGAAAACCUGCUCCCACCCUUGCCUGAAAUAACUGAACAGGGAAGUCGAGAUCCUCCCCUCUCCAAACUUAAAGAAAGAGGCUCAUAAUUUAUGGAGUGCUGGCAAAGCAUCAAAAGUCAAUCCAGUCACUUACAGUAAAAUCAAGGAGGGCGGAACAAUGAAUAUAAAGUGAGAUUCAAACACCUCAUUAAGGGAACAAAGUGUCCAGUUGACACCAGAAUACUGAUGCUUACAUAUUUGUAAGCCAGAGUCCAGUGGCCUUCUGAGAGACUUCCUUGUCCGCGGGAUAUGAAAGGUUUUGGAGAGUCGGCAGGAAAAGGCGAGAAAGCCGAAGCCCAUGAAUUGGUUGAGAUUUUUGAUGGCUAUAUUUCUGAGAGGUGAAGAGCUGGAUGCCAUGAAAUGGGUCAUUGGCUUUCUCUGUGGCAGAGAAUGGGGAAGAGGACCGCUUGCAUCUGCCAUCCAUCCCAGGUCGGAGCGUGUGUGCCCCUGCAGGGCCACCUCGGGCCAAGGCUGUUGCCCCACUGAGAUCUCCUCCUCUGCUCCAAGGCCUUGGGCCGGAUGUUCUGUCUGAGCCUGGUGUGGUGGGGGAAGGCAGCUACUGCCCCAAGACAUGCUAGAGAGAAGAGACAGAACUGUUACUCACUUCUUUUUUGGGACAGCAUUUUUACAAGCUUUGCAGAACAUCACCUGCAGCUUUUUACAUUCUCCUGGGACUUUACCUUCUUUAUGAUUGUUUAUUAUAUUAAAAAGGUUCUUGAUAAUGGCUAUUAUGGAAUUAUUGUUAAUGUUCUUGUGCGUAAUAUGCUUGUUGUGAAAAAUGUCUUUAUUCCUUUUUUUUUUUAAAGAUUCACCCUGAGCUAACAUCUGUUGCCAGUCUUCCUCUUCUUCUUUUUCCUUCCCCAAAGCCCCAGUGCAUGGUUGUAUAUCCUAGUUGUAAGUUCUGGUUCUUCUAUGUGAGCUGCCGCCACAACAUGGCAACUGUCAGAAGCGUAGUGCGGUUCUGAGACCAGGAAGGGAACCCGGGCCACUGAAGAGGUUGUAAAAAUAACACAGACUCACUGUAUACAACUUGUAAAAUACAGAAGUGUAUAAAGAAGGAAAUAAAAUUACCAUUAACCCGUGCUCCAGAGGUCUUAGAAUGUCCAUCAGGAGGGAACGCUUUGAACCAGGCAUCACGCUCUGGGCGGGAUUCCAAGUCAGCCCUGAAAACAGUCAGAGCUACCCCGGGUCCCCUCCUGGCUGCGCAGAAUGGCUGAAAGAGUGGGUUCUCCCUUCUGCCCGGCCCCCCACCCCGGCUCGGUUCCCCACGUCGUCUGAAGAGCCCGCUCUGAGCCCAGACAGCGACG